AAAGGCCUGUGAUGAAUAAAAGUUUUGCCUACAUUGUCUGAUUGCUUAUUAUGCAGAGAAAACUAGACUCUUCUGAGGCCUUC